AACGUAGGACGCAAGCGUUAUCCGGAGUUACUGGGCGUAAAGGGCAGGCAGGCGGGUCGAUAAGUCGGAUGUGAAAUCUCCCUGGCUUAACCCGGAGAGUGCAUUUGAGACUGUCAACCUGGAGGGCAGCAGAGGAGCGUGGAAUUCCGGGUGGAGUGGUGAAAUGCGUAGAGAUCCGGAGGAACACCAGAGGCGAAAGCGGCGCUCUGGGCUGCACCUGACGCUGAACUGCGAAAGCCAGGGGAGCGAACGGG
rnacentral:rRNA from 1 species